rnacentral:rRNA from 1 species
GGAGUUUUGGACCGUGUCUCAGUUCCAAUGUGGGGGGACCUUCCUCUCAGAACCCCCUACUGAUCGUUGGCCAGGUGGGCCGUUACCCCGCCUGCAACCUAAUCAGACGCAUCCCCAUCCCAUAGCGAUGAAUCUUUGCUUGACGUUAGAUGUCUGCUGUCAAGAACAUAGGGAAUUAAUCCGACUUUCGCCGGGCUAUUCUCUACUAAGGGGAAGGUUGGAUACGCGUUACUCACCCGUGCGCCGGUCGCCAUCAAUCAAAGCAAGCUUCGAUUAUGCUGCCCCUCGACUUGCAUGUGUUAAGCCUGUAGCUAGCGUUCAUC